rnacentral:rRNA from 1 species
CCCUUAGAUGUCCUGGGCCGCACGCGCGCUACACUGAUGCAUGCAACGAGUUUAUAACCUUGGCCUGAAAGGUCUGGGUAAUCUUUUGAACGUGCAUCGUGAUAGGGAUAGAUUAUUGCAAUUGUUAAUCUUGAACGAGGAAUUCCUAGUAAACGCGAGUCAUCAGCUCGCAUUGAUUACGUCCCUGCCCUUUGUACACACCGCCCGUCGCACCUACCGAUUGAAUGGUCCGGUGAAAUCUUGGGAUUUUGUUUUGUUUGCAUUUAUUUGUAUCGAGACGAGAGAACUUGAGUAAACCUUACCAUUUAGAGGAAGGUGAAGUCGUAACA